GAAGUGAGGUGGCAUGCCAAGGACAGCCCUAGAAUGAAGUACAGUGUGGGUGGGUUCGCUGAUGGGAUGCUGGACUAGAGGGAACUGUUUCUAGCAGUCUGCAGAAGGUCAGAGCACUGCAGGAGAGCGUCCCUUUACAUUCUGAAGGCAUCCCCACUGUCUGCCUGCAGCCGGGCAAUGGGAUUACUUUGUCCACUCUAGCUCCAAGGUGACACUUCACUGUAUUAAACAAGAGAAGGACUUC
rnacentral:lncRNA from 1 species